rnacentral:lncRNA from 1 species
UGGUAUCGUAAUUUACUAGUAGUACCUAAAACCCAUUAGGACCCAAAUGUCAGUGUUUUUCUGGUCAAGCAAGUGAACUUAUGUUGUUGUUACUGUUUAUAGGUAUAUAGGUUUGUCAGAAACUUCAGGCAAAUGGAACAAAAGCAAGUUAGCAAUAUGUUUAUGUGUACUAGCACUUUAAUAUGAUGUGAUGCAAUGUGUGUGGUCCUUUUCUGAUGUGGUUAUCGUCUUUGUUCUUUUCUGAAGAUUUGGAGAUGACACAUGAGUUUAGUUUAGUCAUGUAGGCGCACUUUUUCGCAUCGGUGAAAUUUGAGCCAUUCAAAUAGUUUUUAAAUCCAGUGAAAUUUGAGCUAUUCAAAUAAGUGGUCACAUGGGAUCCCAUGAGACUUGACAGUGGUCCCCGUUAGCAACGCUUGGGUAGUCGAUUCCCUUUCCCCUCCAUCGUGGCUCACUGCUUAAGGGUCCGGAUAACCUUCAGUUGCGCUUCCCGGUUGGCCAACCAUGAUGUCGAUCAUCAACCUUCAUACUCUUACGGCUAUGCAUCGGAGGCCAACAGUAAUCCUCUUUUUCUCAGACAAAUCCUCCUACACUUACCAACAUUUGCUAGUUGCUUGCAAGAACCUAAUUGCCAAGUCUGAAAACAGUUAAUGUGUGUGUUGAUGGUAAUAACCUAUGGCUGAGAAAUUUUUACAGAUGGUGAAGAAGAUGGAACAGUCAAAGGAGAACAUCAAUGCCAAGAAGGGUGACGCCCUACUGCGGUAGUUGCAUCUGGUGAACAGUGACCCACCAUUCAACUUCCAUAGCCUUGCUAGCAGGAGGAAGAGGACUUGAAUCUGGUUGUCUUGUGUGUUUGAUGCAACUACAACAACAAUGGUGGUGAUGAUAGCAGUUACGUUUUCUUUGCAAAUAGGGAUGAUAUAUUAAUUUACUAGUGGUACCUAAAAUCCAUAAAGACCCAAAUAUCAGCAUUUAUCUAGUCAAGCAAGUGAACUUGUGUUGUUGUUACUGUUUGUAGGUGAUGAUGGGUUUGUGAGAAAAACUUCAAACAAAUGGAAAAAAUAGCAAUAUGUUGAUGUGUACUCCGAUAGACCCCUUCUACUUCCGAGCUUAAUUGAGCUCAGGAUGAACGGUAAAUUUAACAAAAGUAAAAUACUUCAAUAAACUCUGAAUGUUUUUGGGUGUAAACGUCGACAAAUGUUCUUAGUGCUUGUAAAUUUUAUCCCGAAAUAACAUUCAGUUUUUUGAAAUGACUUUCGCAAAUGUUAUUUCGGGAUGAAAUUUGCAAGCAUGAAAAUAUUUGUCAAAGUCUGAACCUGGAAUAAUUUAUAUUUUUUUCUUUUUUGAUUUUACUAUUCGUUAGAGAGCAUAUGAGGUCGGGGCUAGAUACUCUGCAUCUUGUAUACUCGCUCUUUAAUAUGAUGUGAUGCUAUGUGUGUGGUCCAUUUCCGGUUUAUGUUGGAGUCUUGGCCUUUGUUAUCUUAUGAAGAAGUGGAGAUGACAGACGAGUUGAGUUUAGUCACAUAGUGCAUCGGAGUCCAGGAGUGAUCCUCCUUUUCUAAGAAAAAAACCCUCAUGCAAUUACUGUCAUUUGCCAAUUGCUUGCAACAACCCAAUAGCCAAGUCUUAAAAUAGUAAAUGGGUGUGUGCUUGAUUAUGUUUAUAUUACAUCCAAUAUUAACUCAUGUUCAAACAGAAUAUUAUGUAUACUCUUUGAUCUAAGGUUAUUUUUAAUAACUUGGAUUUUUUGUCACGAACAAAUCGAUGAACCGUCGGUCCAACCAGGUAUAGCCGCAACGGUUCGGUUGCCCGUUUGGUUCUAGAAAAUAUAGUUUGAUGGCCAUGGUGGAAGAACGCGACAUAAAUUGCUUUGUAUCCCGAGAACGACGAGGAGAAACGAGCAGGUGGCGGCAGCACUUAUCACUUCAAGCAAUAGGGAGACUAGACCAUAGGGAGAGUAAGUGAGAUGAGUUCGUGUGUGCAUGUAUUUUAGGGAAAGAGCGUGUGUAUUGUAUUAUUUUUAUUGUUUUUUUGUGUGCAUGAAGUGUCUUGUUUGGGCCAAGCCCAAAUAAUGAAAAUAAAACAUUAUCUCUAAAAGUAUUCAACAUCCUAUAGAUCCCUUUGCAUUCUAUCUUUUGCAAAUUCUAAAAAAACCUUUUGAUUAUUUAUUAAACUUUUAAAUUGUAUAUAACAAUUUCACCGUCUGUAUAUCCUACUUAGAACACAUCCACCACUUCGCUUUCACCCGGUCAUAGUGAUAAGUGAAAGGACGCGCCAUCGAAGGACAUGACUAUGACUUCCUCAACUCUAUACUACGUGGUCCAAAUACCAACGUUCUUUUUUUAGUGUCGACACAAAGUGUGUGGUUUUUUUAAGAGAAAGACUGUUUCUACUUUUUUUUAUUUCAAAAAUAUGAACAUUUUAAAAUAUGUUCACCAUUUUUAUAUUCAAUAUUUCUAAAAAAUGUACCCUUUUUUGAAAUGUUUGCAUUUAAAAAUAUUCUGAAAAUAAUAAAUCAAAAUUGUUUUUCAAAGUCUUGUGUUAAAAUGUGAAUCUUAAAAAAUCCCAUUUUUAUAAAAAUGAUAAAAAAAUAAAAAAAUGUUACUUUUUAAAAGUUAAAUAUUCAUGUUCUGUCGAAAGGUAAAAAGACGAUUGACAAAUAAUUCCAUGCACAACUACUCUUUCAUCACAUGACGGAUGUUAAGGUGGCUUCUUCACAUCCACACUUCAAACUCCGAAAAGAGAUAGUUAGAAUUGCAUAUAAGAAAUGUUGUGCAAUGGCACACAGAAAGCAGAUUUUGCUAUUUUUUGGCCCGUUGCAACGCACAGGCAUUUGUACUAGUAUUGCAAAAGUCUAUUAGAUUUAACCCUAAGGCUUCAAAGUUAUAAACAAUCUAGUUUGAAUUUGGUUCAAAUUAAUUAAAAUCCCUAAAGUCAAUAAUAACCCCAAAACAUUUGCUAAAGUUCAUUUUAAGUUUCUGAACUUAGUUACAACUUAAUUAUCCUAAUAAGCUCUUUAGGUUCAAAUAUUGUUUGAAGUAUAGCUUCUGCUAAAAUAUAUUUAAUGUCAAUAUUAAAUUAUUUUAAAAUUGAACUACAAUGGCUAACUUCAAACUACAUUUCACUAGGUUCAUUCUACAAAAGUAAUGAAUUCAUUUGGAUUUAUAAAUUGCAAGUUACACCCUAUUGAAAUUUGAAUUCUUGUUGUUUGAAUUUCAAUUAAAUAUUAAUGGACUACGUGAAAGUGUAUUUAUUGAGGAUGAUAUUGCAAAAGAAUUUGUCAAUUUGGAUUUACAGAUAAAAAGUUGUGAGUGUUUGAAGUUCUAGGUUUUUUAAAAAAAAUCUACCAUUUAAUUCAAUUUAGGAGAAAUUUGAGUGGAUAAUGUUUUGGAUAAGGCGGGUGGCGUGGCAAUUUCCUAUUGGCUGAUACCGAUUCGGUUUAAGUGGACUGAUAUGGUGCGUGCGAUCAAAAUCUAACAGUCCAAAUUAGAUCUAGUGGUUUGGGUUUCGGUGGUUCACCACAAUCUCGCCAAAGAGUCGCUAGAAAACAUGCGCAUGGGGGCGCUAUGCUCAGGAGUUGUCAGAUAUGGAGUUCUAGGGGGUUUCCGGGGUAGCAGAGGGCACAGACAUGCUCGGCGUUGCUCGGGGAGAUCGAAGGUGGCAUCGGCUGGCCUCCAGGGUGACGGAGACUCACGGGGUGAGCUCACUGAAGUUCGGUUGCGUCGGCGGGGCUUCGGGUGAUGAAGCGGUGCUCGAGAUUGAGUGCCUAAUGAUGAACCAAACGGAUUAGAUGACACACGUGAUCAAGGUGAACACGAUGGAGAAGGUCAUGGGGCAAGACACUCACGGUGUCGCGGGAGUUGAGGUCAUAACGGUGGCGAGGCUCAGGCUUUGUCGAAGUCGGGCAUAGAGGAAGUUCAUGUCGCCGCGAAAGAUGUCCAGGGGUCCACCGUUGUGCGGGGAGUCGAGUGGUGGCGGUGGUUGGUCUCGGGGUGACUGCACUCGCCGGAAUCAACGCUGGAGUUUCUAGGUUAGUGGAGGAGCUCGGGGGUUCACCGGCGAGGAGCCUGGUGGCAUUGUGAGGGGAAUGCAGAGGGGAAGUGGUGAGAGUGUCUGGGGCUAUUUAAUGGACAUGGAGGUAGGAGCUGGCAUGGACGGUAUGCGCGCGAGGUGGAGAUCGUGGUCGGUGUGCAUGCGUGGGCGGUUGGAGGUUGGGGGUGACCCUGACUAGUGGGACCCACUGGUCAGCAACUUAGGGAGAGAGAGAGAGAGGGUGUGCGUGGGGUUGGGUUGUGGCUGGCUUAACUGGGCUUGCCUGGCUAGCUUGCUCGGUUGGGCAUUUUUAUUUUUCCAUUUUUUGUUUUUUGUUUUGUCUUUGCCUUUUCAUUUGAAUUUGAUUUGAUUUUUUUAUCCAAAUAAAACUUUCACUAAUUUCAAAUAUGAAUAUUUAUGCCAACAUUUUAUUUGGCUGUUUUGAGCAUACGUUUUCUGCACUUUAUUUUCCAUCUUCAAUUUCAAUUUGGUUUAAACCCAAAUAUGUUUGAAAUCCAAUGGAAAUUUGGUAGAAGGUCAAGCCUAUUAUUUGGACAUAUGGGAUUCACUCUCUUGCUAAAUAAAUGCAAGCCCCUUUUCAUAAAAAUCCCCAUUUGAUUUUUGAAUUGAUUCCAACCAAUCCACUCCAAUCAUUUAGGAAAAUUUAUUAGCGCCUGAAUAUCAUCUGGGUCUUAUUUAGGAUAGCCUUAUGCCCAAAUAAAUAUUUUAAUUUUCAACCUAUAUUGGGAUUCUGAUUUAUUCCCUAAACCUUGUAGGGUUGAUUCUGUUUCUCCCAAAUUUCAAACAAAGGUUUCAAUCUGGCCAUAGGGUCCUUGACUCUCUAGGUGAAUUCAAAUAGUGCAAACACGUCAACCAUCAAGAAAAUUCCUAGACAAUAUUUAGCUAGAGGCUAACAAGCAUAGGUUUUCUCAAAAAAAAAUUAAUUCCCUCACAAAUCUCCUAGCCUAAUGCAAUGAUGUUGCAUUGACCACACAUGUGGGCAAUAUAGCGCGAUCUAACAUAGAGCGUCCGUGUUGUAUCCUUUUAGGUGAGACAUAUUGAUAGCCAUAUGUUACAAAAUGAAGGGAGGAGAUGAUAUAGGGGCGUGGGUGGACUAGGGUCCACAAUUUCACUAUUUUAGGGAACCAUGACCCUUUUCCCCAUUAAAACUAGGCUUGCCGUGAGCUGCAUUUACACCACACGCACUCUCUCUCCUUUUUCCCACACCAGAUCUCCUCGCCCUCGAGUUUUUAGCCGUUUUGGCUCGCCUUCGCCGGAAUUCGUCCGCUCUCGCACUCAUACGAGGUAGGAAUCAUGGAUCCACCCACUCUUUUCCUCGUCGUCCUAAUCUUAGACGUGUUUGAUGUGUGUUGUAUUAAUGACAGAUUUUUGUGAAAUCUGCGAAGCCGAUCUGGGAUAUAAGUGGUUUUAAGGGAGAAUACAAGUUCAAUUUCUGUCAGGUGGUGAGGCGCACUUUAAUUUUUGAUAUUAUGAUUCAUCGAUUUCAUCUGUAUGCUCACGCCUCGACAAGGAUUUCGAGGGCUAAGGUUUGGUCGGGGAGGGGUGGGGUGGGGGAUGCAGGAUCUAACCCCGCAUGAUGAAAUUGUUGUCGAUUGGGAAGCAGAGUGGCUCGGCCUUCAUGUUCAAGUUUUGUAAACAUGUGUUUGUGAAUUAGUAGGGUUAGGGGAAUGAGAGACACAAGAUGAUGCAUGUUUGUGCGGUGGUUCGGGGAAGUGCUUGGGCGGGUGGACAUGCAUCUUGGUAUCCUCUAGCCAUGAUUUCCAUCUGGACCCCCCUCCCACCCUUAGUGGUCCAGCAUACUUUAAUUUUUUUUAUUAUGAUUCAUUGAUUUCAUAUGUGUGCUUGCCACAACAAGGAUUUUGGGGGCUAAGGUUUGGUCGGGGAGGGGUGGGGUGGGAGGAUGCAGGAUCUGACCCCGCAUGAUGAAACUGUUGUCGAUUUGGGAAGCAAAGUGGCCCAGUCUUCAGGUUCUAGUCUGGUAAAGGUGUGUUUGUGAAUUAGUAGAGUUAGUGGAACAUGAGACACAAGAUGAUGCAUGUUUGUGCGGUGGUUGGUGGAAGUGCUAGGGCGGGCAGAAAUGCAUCUUGGUAUCAUCUAGCCAUUAUUUCUAUCUGAACCCCCUUUGCUGACCCCCUAUGGUUUUUCUAAUCCUCCAAUUUUCUGUUGAUUUUCCACUCCUUGAAGGGACAAUAUGACAUUUUUCUGGAACAUGCAAGAGUUAGUAUGACAUUUUUGUAGAACACACAAGAGUCAGUAUGAGAUAUCUCGCAAAAAAGGGUAUGAGAUCAGUAUAUGCCACAAUUGUUUUAACUAUAUUGGUGUAGUUGUGGUCCUUAGAGGCCCACUAGUGCACGACAAAUUCUGGGCCUAGAUUCCCUCUAGAUGAUCCAGGGCUCCAAGCCAAAAAAUAAAAGGUAGACAUGCAUUUCUCACUUUCUCCAAAAAAUGCAUGUCUCACUCUUUUUGCGUGUAGAAUGACUUUACCUUUUGUCACCUAUCUAUUUUUUCCAUUUUUGAUGACACCAAAUUUGUCACCUCUAUGAAUUGAAGAGCACCGUGUUGUAAGACUCCUUGUACUAAUACAUCCCCCGAAUUAGAAACGGCGAUCUUGGCAGUAGUAGGCAGUGGCAAAUGGCCACACGCGGUUUACUCAUAUACUUGUCUCCCACGCUAAUGUGCAUAAUGCUCAGUCGUUGGUACUGAGGCGUCUCAGUGGCAACCAUCGUCGGCUAGCUAUUGAAUGGAACCAGCACAUCCCCCGAGUUUGUCUCAUAUACCAGGCUUAACGCGUGGCCACGUUUGGCGCUUUGGCAGUACCCUAUCUACCCAGUACGAGACGAACUAUCUACUAAUGUAUCUAUCUAUCUAUCUAUCUAUCUAUCUAUAGCCCACCUUUUUCAUCAAUGACAUGAAUUUAAUAGCUAUCUAAUGCUUUAAUUGAUGCUUAUCUCUUGCAUGCUACAUGCUAUAAAUAGGGGGAGCGGCAAAAGACUGGACCACACACCACAACCCACAAGCAAGAGUAGGUAGAGCGAGACCACAGUGGCGAGGACAGAUAGGAUGGCGUCAAAGAUGAGCAAGGACGUGAAUUUCUCCGAGGAAGAAGUCACCUCGCACCCGCGUGUUCUAGAAGGUGAGGAGCAGACGGUUGCACCGGCACGGCAGUCUUCCAUCUUCCCGCCAACGUUGGACGAGCUGCAAUACUCUAUGUGCGAGGCAAGGCACAACUUUGGGUCCAUGAACAUGGACGAGUUCAUGAGCAACAUAUGGAAUGCCAAGGAGUUCCAAGCGGCGACCUAUGGUGUCUUGGUGGGCAUGGAGGUGGCUCCGGUGGUGGCUGUUGAUGGAGGCCGAGGUGGUGAAGAUGCAGGAGGAAGCAACCUAGCCCGGCAGGAGUCGUUCUCCUUGCCUCCCCCGCUAUGCCGAAAGAUGGUGGAGGAGGUGUGGGCUGAGAUCAACAGGGAGACCCGCCCGGUGCAUUCCCAGCCUCAGUCCGCGCGACCCUCGCCAUUGAUUCCUGUCGAACCACCGGCGGGGAAUGGUGGUGGGGUUGCGGCGAACGAACAAUGGGGGACGCUUGGAGAGAUGACGCUAGAACAGUUUCUUGUCAAGGUUGGUGUGGUCUGGGGAUCUGGCACCGGCGGCCAGGAGCCUGUGCCGGUCGGCAUGGUCCAUGGACAGAUGAACCCUACCCCGGCCAACGGCAUGUUCCAGGUGAUGGGCGAUGGCAUGGUGUUCAUCCCCAAUGGGUACAUAGGGAUGGUCGUGGUGCCGCCACCACUACCUCCUCAAGGUGGGGUGGGUAUCGUGAGCCCAGGGUCGUCGUACGGGAGGAGCACCAUGACGGAGGUUGACAUGAUGAACUGUAUGGGCGACAGAGUGAUGAUGGAGAACAGCGGCACACGGAAGCGCGGCGCUCCGGAGGAUCAGUCCUGUGAGAGGAGCAUCGAGCGCCGCCACCACCGCAUGAUCAAGAACCGUGAGUCAGCCACACAAUCGCGUGGCUGGAAGCAGGUACUUACUUGGCUGCCAAAAUUGUUGGAUUUAUGCAAUGUCAUUUCUGCAAUGGUGGUAACUGGUAACAAGGUUGGCGACACUUACACUCUAUGUCUUUCUUAACCGGCAGGCUUAUACCAAAGAGCUUGAAGCCGAACUAAACCACCUCAAGGAGGAGAACUCUCAUCUGAAAGAUGAGGAGGUGCGAAGUUGCUCACCAAUGAAAACCAUGAGAAAAUUCAGUUUUCUUAGUCUUUUCAGUUCUUACCAUUACUAAACAGUUUCACUGUUUUGUUGCAGAAGACGAUUUUGCUGACCAAGAAACAAAUGGUAUGUACAUUUUCCCACCAUCAUGUGGCAAUCCUCCUACACUCGCCAUCACUUGCCAAUUGCUUGUGACAAUCUAAAUGCUAGGUAUUCAAACAGUCAAUGUGUGUGUGCUGAUGAAAACACCUUGUGGAUGUGAUCUUUUAUUUCUUACAGCUAGUGGAGAAGGUGAUGGAGCAGCCCAAGGAAAAUGUGAACACCAAGAAGGGUGGCGCCCUGUCGCGGCGCUGCGGUAGCUGCAUCUGGUGAUAGGUGACCCACCAUUCAGCUUCCAUAGUCCUGCUGGCAGGAGGAUGAGAAUGAAUAAUGGUUACCUUUCCUUUCUAGAGCGGGGUGGUAUCGUAAUUUACUAGUAGUACCUAAAACCCAUAAGAACCCAAAUGUCUGUGUUUUUCUGGUCAAGCAAGUGAACUUCUGUUGUUGUUACUGUUUAUAGGUAUAUAGGUUUGUCAGGAACUUCAGGCAAAUGGAACAAAAGCAAGUUAGCAAUAUGUUUAUGUGUACUAGCACUUUAAUAUGAUGUGAUGCAAUGUGUGUGGUCCAUUUCUGAUGGGGUCAUCGCCUUUGUUCUUUUCUGAAGAUUUGGAGAU